GGCUCAGGACGAACGCUGGCGGCGUGCCUAAUACAUGCAAGUCGAGCGGGGUUGUUUAGAAGCUUGCUUCUAAACAACCUAGCGGCGGACGGGUGAGUAACACGUAGGCAACCUGCCCACAAGACAGGGAUAACUACCGGAAACGGUAGCUAAUACCCGAUACAUCCUUUUCCUGCAUGGGAGAAGGAGGAAAGACGGAGCAAUCUGUCACUUGUGGAUGGGCCUGCGGCGCAUUAGCUAGUUGGUGGGGUAAAGGCCUACCAAGGCGACGAUGCGUAGCCGACCUGAGAGGGUGAUCGGCCACACUGGGACUGAGACACGGCCCAGACUCCUACGGGAGGCAGCAGUAGGGAAUCUUCCGCAAUGGGCGAAAGCCUGACGGAGCAACGCCGCGUGAGUGAUGAAGGUUUUCGGAUCGUAAAGCUCUGUUGCCAGGGAAGAACGUCUUGUAGAGUAACU
rnacentral:rRNA from 1 species